rnacentral:rRNA from 1 species
UACGGAGGGCGCAAGCGUUGUUCGGAAUCACUGGGCGUAAAGCGCGUGUAGGCGGCUUGGCAAGUCGGGUGUGAAAUCCCGAGGCUCAACCUCGGAGCUGCACUCGAAACUGCUUGGCUAGAGUCCCGGAGAGGGUGGCGGAAUUCCCGGUGUAGGGGUGAAAUCCGUAGAUAUCGGGAGGAAUACCAGUGGCGAAGGCGGCCACGUGGACGGUGACUGACGCUGAGACGCGAAAGCGUGGGGAGCAAACAGG